rnacentral:rRNA from 1 species
UAGGGAAUCUUCGGCAAUGGACGACAGUCUGACCGAGCAACGCCGCGUGAGUGAAGAAGGUUUUCGGAUCGUAAAACUCUGUUGUUAGAGAAGAACAAGGACGUUAGUAACUGAACGUCCCCUGACGGUAUCUAACCAGAAAGCCACGGCUAACUACGUGCCAGCAGCCGCGGUAAUACGUAGGUGGCAAGCGUUGUCCGGAUUUAUUGGGCGUAAAGCGAGCGCAGGCGGUUUCUUAAGUCUGAUGUGAAAGCCCACGGCUCAACCGGGGAGGGUCAUUGGAAACUGGGAGACUUGAGUGCAGAAGAGGAGAGUGGAAUUCCAUGUGUAGCGGUGAAAUGCGUAGAGAUGUGGAGGAAUACCGGUGGCGAAGGCGGCCCCCUGGACAAAGACUGACGCUCAGGUGCGAAAGCGUGGGGAGCAAACAGG